GCUUGGAUAGCUUAGUUGGUUGAGAAGGAGGCUCUUAAUCUCAAGGUCCUGGGUUCAAUCCCCAUGUUGGGUA